rnacentral:rRNA from 1 species
UAGUACUCUCAUAUCUAAAGUAUCAAUCUUACUGAUUAAAACCUUAACUCAACGUAGUAAACUUUAAACACUAUCUUUUAUACACCGUAAGGAACUCUCAAUACUCUAUAAAAAACAGACUAAAUCUUCGUACCUUUUGCAUCAUGUAUUUGCAACAAAAUCUAGCUAAUUCUACCUCCCGAAAAGUGAGGAGCUAUUACUGUCAAACCAGUAGUGUGUCAUUAUUAUACAAAGACAGUAAUAGGGGCGAAAUACCUUACGAAUCACUUGAUAGCUGGCUGUCCCUUAAAAGCAUUUAAGUGCUGCUUAGUGAACUUAUUAAGAGCCUAAUACACUAAAGCUAUACCAGCAAGGACAAGCUUGUUGGUUCUAAAGAAGCAAGAUAAACACUAAUACCAGAAAAAGGCUUAAAAACAGCCAACAAAUUCCGUUACAGGAAAUGACUAAAAUAAACUAACAUCCAAAACCAACUCAUAGUUAAAGGAACCUUAUGGCAAAACAGACGCUUUAACGAACCGGCAAUUAUUAGUAUCAAAGGUUUCUCCUAAAUGCUAAAACAAGAAACCAUAACAUACCCAAUUACAACUACCCAUAAACAUUGAUAGCAAAUUCGGCAAAACUUUUCUUCGGCUGUUUACCAAAAACAUCGUUCUUUGAUCUCUAAGCAUAAAGAAUACUGUCUGCCCAAUGACCCUUAAUGGUUAAAUGGCCGCGUUAGCGUGAGCGUGCUAAGGUAGCGUAAUAAUUAGCUCUCUAAUUAGGAGCCAGUCAAUGAUUAAACGAAGAGAAACUGUACCAUCAAUGUAAAGAAAAAUUUUCUUCUGAGUGAAAAGACUCAGAUGCAAGAGACAGACAAAAAGACCCCGCGGAACUUCCCUUGACACUAACAGCAUAAGUUAAGCUGGAAGAAAAGAGGUUGGUUGGGGCAACCCUGGAGAAAAUAAAACCUCCAAAUAAAGACUUCAAUACAUAUACUAAACUUGAUUAGGAUAUUAUAGCAGUUACCCCGGGGAUAACAGCGUAAUCCAACUAGAGAGUACACAUCGAAAGUUGGGUUUGCGACCUCGAUGUUGGCUUAGGGAAAGCUACUUGGCGCAGCCACUAAGCAUAUAGCUAGUCUGUUCGACUACAAAUCCCCUACAUGAGCUGAGUUAAGACCGGCGAGAGCUAGGUUGGAUUCUAUCUUCUCCUCUAAAAAUUGACUCUUUAUUGUACGAAAGGACCCAAAGAGACACAAUCGCAAGCGUGCACAAUAGUUAAUUUAGCGUACUUUUAGUGU